UACGUAGGGGGCAAGCGUUGUCCGGAUUUAUUGGGCGUAAAGCGCGCGUAGGCGGCAAGGUGUGUCGUGCGUGAAAUCUCUCGGCUUAACUGGGAGGGGCCGUGCGAAACUGCCUGGCUUGAGGUCGGAAGGGGAAAGUGGAAUUCCGGGUGUAGUGGUGGAAUACGUAGAUAUCCGGAGGAACACCAGCGGCGAAGGCGGCUUUCUGGUCCGAUACUGACGCUGAGGUGCGAAAGCGUGGGGAGCGAUCCGG
rnacentral:rRNA from 1 species